CCUACGGGAGGCAGCAGUGAGGAAUAUUGGUCAAUGGCCGAGAGGCUGAACCAGCCAAGUCGCGUGAGGGAAGACGGCCCUACGGGUUGUAAACCUCUUUUGUCGGGGAGCAAAGCGAGUCACGUGUGACUCAUUGAGAGUACCCGAAGAAAAAGCAUCGGCUAACUCCGUGCCAGCAGCCGCGGUAAUACGGAGGAUGCGAGCGUUAUCCGGAUUUAUUGGGUUUAAAGGGUGCGCAGGCGGUGGUGCAAGUCAGCGGUAAAAUUGCGGGGCUCAACCCCGUACUGCCGUUGAAACUGCAUCCCUUGAGUGCGCGAGAAGUAUGCAGAAUGCGUGGUGUAGCGGUGAAAUGCAUAGAGAUCACGCAGAACUCCGAUUGCGAAGGCAGCACACCGGCGCGCAACUGACGCUCAUGUACGAAAGCGUGGGUAUCGAACAGGAUUAGAUACCCCAGUAGUC
rnacentral:rRNA from 1 species